AUUGAACGCUGGCGGCAGGCCUAACACAUGCAAGUCGAGCGGAGCGGCGGACGGGCGAGUAAUACCUAGGAAUCUGCCUGAUACUGGUGGAUAACGUCCGGAAACGGACGCUAAUACCGCAUAAUAUCAGAUUAGCCUAGGUCGGAAUGGCUAGUGGGUGGGGUAAUGGCAUACAAAGGCUACGUACCGUAACUGGUCUGAGAGGAUGAUCGGUCACACUGGAACUGAGACACGGUCCAGACUCCUACGGGAGGCGGCAGUGGGGAAUGUUGGACAAUGGGCGAAAGCCUGAUCAAGCCAUGCCGCGUGUGUAAAGAAGGUCUUCGGAUUGUAAAGCACUUUAAGUUGGGAGGCGUUACCGGCAGAAUAAGCACCGGCUAACUACGUGCCAGCAGCCGCGGUAAUUC
rnacentral:rRNA from 1 species